GAUGAACGCUGGCGGCGUGCUUAACACAUGCAAGUCGAACGGAAAGACCCUGCUUUUGUGGCGUGCUCGAGUGGCGAACGGGUGAGUAACACAUGAGUAUAAUGCCCUUGAAUUUGGGAUAUCUUCUGGAAACUCGGGCUAUUACCGGAUAGGAGAUCCUGCAGCACGGUGGGGGUUGGAGAGUUCGGGCGGUUGGGGCUGGAUUCGAGGGUUAUCCGCUUGUUGGUGGGGUUGUGGCUUACCAAGGCUUCGAAGGGUAGGCCGCAUGGGAGGGUGACCGGCGUCAAGGCUACUGAGAGACGGAGCAGACGCCUACGGGAGGCAGCAGGGGAAAACAUUGCACAGUGAGGGGGAGCCUGAUGCAGCAACGCCGCGAGCGGAAAGACGGCCUUCGGGGGAUGAACCGCUUUCUACUGAGACGAACAGUGAGUGACGGUAACGGGUAAAAAAGCACCGGCUAACUACGUG
rnacentral:rRNA from 1 species